rnacentral:rRNA from 1 species
CGGUAAUUCCAGCUCCAAUAGCGUAUACUAAAGUUGUUGCAGUUAAAAAGCUCGUAGUUGGAUUUCUGCGGGGACGGAGCGGCCGAUCGCAACUUGCGACUCGAGCUAGCGCUUCCCCCGCAUCCUGCCGCGAACCGUGCUACCAUUAGCUUGGUGGCGCUGGGGAUCGGCUCGAUUACUUUGAGAAAAAUAGAGUGUUCAAAGCAGGCCACACGCCUUGAAUAAGUUAGCAUGGAAUAAUGACUAAGGACUUCGGUUCUAUUUUGUUGGUGUUCGGGACUGAAGUAAUGAUUGAUAGGGACAGUUGGGGCGGUCUGUAUUCCAAAGCGAGAGGUGAAAUUCUUAGACCUUCGGAAGACAAACAGCUGCGAAAGCGUUCUGCAAGGAUGUUCCCUUUGAUCAAGAACGAAAGUUGGGGGAUCGAAGACGAUCAGAUACCGUCGUAGUCUCAACUAUAAACUAUACCAGCUAGGGACCGGUCAACGUUUAAUCAUUCGACUUGAUCGGCACCUUAUGAGAAAUCAAAGCAUCUGGGUUCCGGGGGGAGUAUGGUCGCAAGACUGAAACUUAAAGGAAUUGACGGAAGGGCACCACCAGCCGUGGAGCCUGUGGCUUAAUUUGACUCAACACGGGAAAACUUACCAGGUCCAGACAUAGUAAGGAUUGACAGAUUGAUAGCUCUUUCUUGAUUCUGUGGGUGAUGGUGCAUGGCCGUUCUUAGUUGGUGGAGUGACUUGUCUGGUUAAUUCCGUUAACGAACGAGACCCCAGCCUGCUAAAUAGCGCGGCUGAGCUUUGCUCGGUGCGAGCUUCUUAGAGGGACUAUGAUGCGCGAUAGCACAUGGAAGUUUGGGGCAAUAACAGGUCUGUGAUGCCCUUAGAUGUUCUGGGCCGCACACGGGCUACACUGGCGCCUGCAACGAGCAUAUCAGCUGGCCCGAGAGGGUCUUGGCUAAUCUUUUGAACCGGCGCCGUGCUUGGGAUUGACCAUUGCAAUUGUUGGUCAUGCAACGAGGAAUGCCUUGUAAACGCGAGUCAUCAGCUCGCAUUGAAUACGUCCCUGCCCUUUGUACACACCGCCCGUCGCUCCUACCGAUGAAUGUUCCGAUGAAAUUUUCGGAGAGCGCCAGAGAACGGGGCUCCGCCUUGCAGAUCUGGAGGCUCAAAGUCACUUAAGUCUGAACAUUUCGAGGAAGGAGAAGUCGUAACAAGGUAACC